AGCAGUCAGACAGUGUGAGAUAAGUUUCAUUGUCAAAAGGGAAACAGCCCAGACCCACAGCUAAGGUCCCAAAUGUAUGUUAAGUGGAAAAGGAUGUCCAGUUGCACAAACAACCAGGAUGUUGGCUUAGAAGCAGCCACACAUUCAAAGAGUGCGUAACAGCUCACUGGUCGAGUGACCGGGCGCCGAAAAUGUAACGGGGCUAAACAUACAACCGAAGCUUGGGCUGCACAGCAAUGUGCGGGGUAGGGGAGCGUUGUGUGUGGGGAGAAGCACGAGCGGAAGCGCGUGUGGACUGCACAGAAGUGAGAAUGCCGGAAUGAGUAGCGCGAAUUAUGUGAGAAUCAUAAUGGCCGAAAGCCUAAGGUUUCUGGAGGAAGGUUCGUCCGCUCCAGGUUAGCCGGGAGCUAAGGUGAGGCCGAAAGGCGUAGCCGAUGCACAUACGGUGGAGAUUCCGUAGCCAUCAAAAGAUUUAAGCAGAGGGACACAGUAGAAGGGUACAUGCCGGGCGUUGGUAGCCCCGGUUGUAAGGGACCGAAAUUAGAGUAGGGAAGAUGGACUUGGAUACUGGCGAGAAAAGCUCUGUGGAUAUCUGCGAUGCCCGUACCGCAAACCGACACAGGUAGGUAGGAAGAGGAUUCUAAGGCCAACGGGAGAAGGGUUGUUAAGGAACUCGGCAAGUUGACCCCGUAACUUCGGGAGAAGGGGUGCUCUGGAAACAGAGCCGCAGAGAAUAGGUCCAGGCAACUGUUUAGCAAAAACACAGCUCUCUGCUAAAUCGAAAGAUGAUGUAUAGGGGGUGACGCCUGCCCGGUGCUGGAAGGUUAAGAGGAGGAGUGAGAGCCCCGAAUCGAAGCCCCAGUAAACGGCGGCCGUAACUAUAACGGUCCUAAGGUAGCGAAAUUCCUUGUCAGGUAAGUUCUGACCCGCACGAAAGGCGUAAUGAUCUGGACACUGUCUCAACAGCCCACCCGGCGAAAUUGUAGUACCGGUGAAGAUGCCGGUUACCCGCGACAAGACGGAAAGACCCCAUGGAGCUUUACUGCAGCCUAAUAUUGGAUUUCGGUAUUUCAUGUACAGGAUAGGUGGGAGACUGGGAAACACAGGCGUCAGCUUGUGCGGAGUCGCCCUUGGGAUACCACCCUUGAAGUGCUGGAAUUCUAACCUGUGGCCAUGAAUCUGGUCAGGGGACAUUGUUAGGCGGGCAGUUUGACUGGGGCGGUCGCCUCCAAAAGAGUAACGGAGGCGCUCAAAGGUUCGUUCAGCACGGACGGAAAUCGUGCAUUGAGUGUAAACGCAUAAACGAGCCUAACUGCGAGACCGACGGGUCGAGCAGUAACGAAAGUUGGAGUUAGUGAUCCGGUGGUAUGUGAGUGGAAAUGCCAUCGCUCAACGGAUAAAAGCUACCCUGGGGAUAACAGGCUGAUCUCCCCCAAGAGUCCACAUCGACGGGGAGGUUUGGCACCUCGAUGUCGGCUCAUCGCAUCCUGGGGCUGUAUUCGGUCCCAAGGGUUUGGCUGUUCGCCAAUUAAAGCGGUACGCGAGCUGGGUUCAGAACGUCGUGAGACAGUUCGGUCCCUAUCUGUCGUGGGCGCAGGAUAUUUGAAAGGAGCUGUCCCUAGUACGAGAGGACCGGGAUGGACGCACCUCUGGUGCACCAGUUGUCACGCCAGUGGCACAGCUGGGCAGCUAUGUGCGGAUCGGAUAAACGCUGAAGGCAUCUAAGCGUGAAACCGGCCUUAAGAUAAGAUAUCCCACUGAGUCAAUCAGGUAAGACCCCUUGAAGACUACAAGGUAGAUAGGCACAAUGUGUAAGCAUGGUGACAUGUUAAGCUAGCGUGUACUAAUCGGUCGAGGGCUUGACCAA
rnacentral:rRNA from 1 species